UACGAAGGGGGCUAGCGUUGCUCGGAAUCACUGGGCGUAAAGGGUGCGUAGGCGGGUUUUUAAGUCAGAGGUGAAAUCCUGGAGCUCAACUCCAGAACUGCCUUUGAUACUGAAAGUCUUGAGUAUGGGAGAGGUGAGUGGAACUGCGAGUGUAGAGGUGAAAUUCGUAGAUAUUCGCAAGAACACCAGUGGCGAAGGCGGCUCACUGGCCCAUUACUGACGCUGAGGCACGAAAGCGUGGGGAGCGAACCGG
rnacentral:rRNA from 1 species